rnacentral:rRNA from 1 species
ACCAACAGGGAUUGCCUUAGUAGCGGCGAGUGAAGCGGCAAAAGCUCAAAUUUGAAAUCUGGCUCUUUCAGAGUCCGAGUUGUAAUUUGAAGAAGGUAUCUUUGGGUCUGGCUCUUGUCUAUGUUUCUUGGAACAGAACGUCACAGAGGGUGAGAAUCCCGUGCGAUGAGAUGAUCCAGGCCUAUGUAAAGUUCCUUCGAAGAGUCGAGUUGUUUGGGAAUGCAGCUCUAAGUGGGUGGUAAAUUCCAUCUAAAGCUAAAUAUUGGCGAGAGACCGAUAGCGAACAAGUACAGUGAUGGAAAGAUGAAAAGAACUUUGAAAAGAGAGUGAAAAAGUACGUGAAAUUGUUGAAAGGGAAGGGCUUGAGAUCAGACUUGGUAUUUUGUAUGUUACUUCUUCGGGGGUGGCCUCUACAGUUUAUCGGGCCAGCAUCAGUUUGGGCGGUAGGAGAAUUGCGUUGGAAUGUGGCACGGCUUCGGUUGUGUGUUAUAGCCUUCGUCGAUACUGCCAGCCUAGACUGAGGACUGCGGUUUAUACCUAGGAUGUUGGCAUAAUGAUCUUAAGUCGCC